rnacentral:lncRNA from 1 species
GUAAAACUGUGAUGUGUCAUUCACCAUUACUCAACAGUGGAAAAACACUUGCUAACAUGAUCUGAGCCCUCUCCCCUUCACCUCCCCCACUCCAGCUGCUGAAGUUGGAGACGUUACUUUACUCCAGUAAAGCCGAAGAUGAGUACAGGAUAUUGCUGCAGGACAACUACCGCGCUACACAGCCGCUCAACCACAGGGUCAUCUUCACCUCCUUCUCUGCAGAAUCAGGGAAGGAGCUGUCCUCUGGUGAAGUCACAGCCAUAGUGAUAGGAGUGAUGUGCGGCUGUGUAGGUGUGGCAGUCAUCAUUCGCUUCAUCGUCAAGACAAUACGGUAAGGAGCUCCGCCGCGCUGCUCCGCACUCCCAGUGGCCUGUUUGCCACUCUGUUUCUGCUCUGACACAGGCUGCUCCGGACCCGCGGCACCGGUCUCCUGCUGUUCUGGUUUAAGUGGGUGACGCUGUGGUACUUCCAGUCUCUUCUCAUCAUCUGUCUCCUAUGUCUUGGCAGAUUUUUUAAACUCCUCCACCAUGAAACAGUCGUGGUAAACAGGUGGCAUAUUUGAUCUCAGUACUGACAAAGAUGCUCAACUAGUGCUAACUGCUGUUUAUGAUUUUUAUUUGAUUUAUUUUUUGUGCUCGACAGGUAUCCUUAAGCACAGAUCUUAGGUAGGUUUCAUUAUAAAAGCUUUAAAGCUUUAAGUAACCUAAGAUCAGUGCUGAGGGUAAUCUGAGCUGCACUAACACGGCUGUUUCCCACUGCUCUGUUAUAACCUUACUACUGAUAAAUG